UUUGUUACUUCAAACCAAUCGGACUUCGGUCUGACAUCAAGUGAUAUUGAACAAUUUAGCUGAUCGCACGGUCUAAGAACCGGCGACAUAUCCUUCAAAUGUCUGCCUUAUCAACUUUCGAUGGUAGAUUAUGCGCCUACCAUGGUUGUAACGGGUAACGGAGAAUCAGGGUUUGAUUCCGGAGAGGGAGCCUGAGAAACGGCUACCACAUCCAAGGAAGGCAGCAGGCACGCAAAUUACCCACUCCCGGCACGGGGAGGUAGUGACGAAAAAUAACAAGCUGGUCUCAAUGAGUUCCAGCAUUGUAAUGGGAACAAUUUAAAUCUUUUAUCGAGGAUCUAUUGGAGGACAAGUCUGGUGCCAGCAGCCGCGGUAAUUCCAGCUCCAAUARCGUAUAUUAAAGUUGUUGCGGUUAAAAAGCUCGUAGUCGGAUCUAGGAUUAGGGCUACGGUCGUUCAGCUUGGACGUACUGUAUGCCCGACUCCUUUUCUCUAGUAUUCGAUUGUUGCUCUUAAAUGAGUGACUUYAGUUGCUGGAACUUUUACCUUGAAAAAAUUGAAGUGCUCAAAGCASGUU
rnacentral:rRNA from 1 species